rnacentral:lncRNA from 1 species
UUCCCUAUUUCAUGUCCUAAGUCCAAUUAUAAGGAAUGUGACAUAAAUUAGUGCUCCAGCAGUGUCUUAGAGGUGCCUUAAAUCACUAGGAUCCUCCUUUCAUGCCUUAUUAAUAAGGCACCACUAGCCAUGCCUUAUUUGAUUUCUUUAAUAAAAAAAUCAUUUCUCUCUCUUAUUGUAACUUAUUUUCUCUCUCUUCCUUCCAUCUUUUAUCAAUCUCUCUCCAAAUUUAUUAUUAUAAUAAUAAUAAGGAAUGAAUUAUAAGGAUCAUUGUUGGAGUUGAAAUACAAAAUCUUGUCCUAAAUCACUAAGAUUCAAUAUUUUAUAAUAUUUAUAAGGAAGACACUAAGACACUGCUGAAGAUGCUCUAAG